UAUUUUAAUAGCUUAUUUAGAGCAUGAUGCUGAAGUUAUCAAGGAGAUUUUGAUCUUAGAAUAU
rnacentral:tRNA from 1 species